UACGGAGGGUGCAAGCGUUAAUCGGAAUUACUGGGCGUAAAGGGUGCGUAGGCGGUUGUGCAAGACAGAUGUGAAAUCCCCGGGCUCAACCUGGGAAUUGCAUUUGUGACUGCACGGCUAGAGUGUGUCAGAGGGGGGUAGAAUUCCACGUGUAGCAGUGAAAUGCGUAGAGAUGUGGAGGAAUACCGAUGGCGAAGGCAGCCCCCUGGGAUAACACUGACGCUCAUGCACGAAAGCGUGGGGAGCAAACAGG
rnacentral:rRNA from 1 species